UUUGGGGAAUAAAUUUAACUGUAAAUAAUCAAAUUACAUGCCUUUUUAAGCUGAUUAUGAAUAUAAAGGUGCACAUGGUUUUAUUCCUGUUCCGAAUGGAUUGUUAAAGAAACAACUUGAAAAAAAUAAACUUCAACAACAUUAGAUGACCCAGAAACAGAAUUAUUUUCUAAAAAUGAAUUAGACACACUUUCAAGUUUUUA
rnacentral:lncRNA from 1 species